GACGAACGCUGGCGGCGUGCUUAACACAUGCAAGUCGAACGGAAAGGCCCUGCUUGCAGGGUACUCGAGUGGCGAACGGGUGAGUAACACGUGGGUUAUCUGCCCUGCACUUCGGGAUAAGCCUGGGAAACUGGGUCUAAUACCGGACAGGAGCCAUUUUUAGUGUGAUGGUUGGAAAGUUUUUUCGGUGUAGGAUGAGCUUGCGGCCUAUCAACUUGUUGGUGGGGUAAUGGCCUACCAAGGCGGCGACGGGUAGCCGGCCUGGGAGGGUGGACAGCCACCUUGGGACUGAGAUACGGCCCCGACUCCUACGGGAGGCAGCAGUGGGGAAUAUUGCACAAUGGGCGCAAGCCUGAUGCAGCGGCGCCGCGUGGGGGAUGACGGCCUUCGGGUUGUAAACUCCUUUCGCUAGGGACGAAGCUUUUUGUGACGGUACCUAGAUAAGAAGCACCGGCUAACUACGUG
rnacentral:rRNA from 1 species